UAUGUGUAUAAUGUGUAUAAUUAUUAUCUAUUCGUCACAAUCUCUCUAUUCUAGCAGGAAUCCACGAAGGAAAUAUGUUUAAAACACUCUUUCUACUAAGCCUUAUCCUGCUAACCUCCACUCUGUCUAUAAAGAAAAGAGGAGUUGAGGACUGCCACUAUAGAGGUGUGUCUCACCCCCUUGGUAGCAGCUGGUGUGAUCCGUUGCGAUGUGGUUUCUGUCGGUGUGAUGACCAAUUCGCUGUUUCGUGUGAUAAUUCGUCAUGUGACAAGGUAAAAGGAGAAGAAUUCUGUUCAAGACAUGGAUAGAAAGUAAAACUCCACAUUCCAAAAUUCAAUGAACGCGUCCCAUACUUUGUGUAAUUCUAGAUUCUAAUAGUGACAUUUAGAGAUUUAGCAGUAUUUUCAAAAAGUUUAUAACUUGAGUUUUGAUGAAAAAAGCGUAUUUGGUAUUAUUU